UACGGAGGGUGCAAGCGUUAAUCGGAAUUACUGGGCGUAAAGCGCACGCAGGUGGCUGAGUCAGUCGAUUGUGAAAGCCCUGGGCUUAACCUGGGAAUUGCAGUCGAUACUACUCAGCUAGAGUAUGGGAGAGGGCAGUGGAAUUCCUGGUGUAGCGGUGAAAUGCGCAGAUAUCAGGAGGAACACCGGUGGCGAAGGCGGUUCUCUGGGCCUUACCUGACGCUGAGGAGCGAAAGCGUGGGGAGCGAACAGG
rnacentral:rRNA from 1 species